rnacentral:rRNA from 1 species
GAUGAACGCUGGCGGCGUGCCUAAUACAUGCAAGUCGAGCGAACAGAUGAGGAGCUUGCUCCUCUGACGUUAGCGGCGGACGGGUGAGUAACACGUGGAUAACCUACCUAUAAGACUGGGAUAACUUCGGGAAACCGGAUCUAAUACCGGAUAAUAUAUUGAACCGCAUGGUUCAAUAGUGAAAGACGGUUUUGCUGUCACUUAUAGAUGGAUCCGCGCCGCAUUAGCUAGUUGGUAAGGUAACGGCUUACCAAGGCAACGAUGCGUAGCCGACCUGAGAGGGUGAUCGGCCACACUGGAACUGAGACACGGUCCAGACUCCUACGGGAGGCAGCAGUAGGGAAUCUUCCGCAAUGGGCGAAAGCCUGACGGAGCAACGCCGCGUGAGUGAUGAAGGUCUUCGGAUCGUAAAACUCUGAUAUUAGGGAAGAACAAAUGUGUAAGUAACUAUGCACGUCUUGACGGUACCUAAUCAGAAAGCCACGGCUAACUACGUG